AGGAUGAACGCUGGCGGCGUGCUUAACACAUGCAAGUCACGGGGGUUUGAGGCGCAAGCCUUGAGCAACCGGCGAACGGGUGCGUAACACGUGAGCAACCUACCGAAAUGAGGGGGAUAGCCGGCCCAACGGCCGGGCAAUACCGCAUAAGCUCAGAUCCAGGCAUUUGGGUCUGAGGAAACCUCCGGGGCGUUUCGAGGGGCUCGCGGCCUAUCAGCUAGUUGGCGGGGUAAUGGCUCACCAAGGCGACGACGGGUA
rnacentral:rRNA from 1 species